rnacentral:rRNA from 1 species
UACAGAGGGUGCGAGCGUUAAUCGGAGUUACUGGGCGUAAAGGGCGCGUAGGCGGUUGUUUAAGUGAGAUGUGAAAUCCCUGGGCUUAACCUAGGAACUGCAUCUCAUACUGGGCAGCUAGAGUAUUGUAGAGGGUAGUGGAAUUUCCGGUGUAGCGGUGAAAUGCGUAGAUAUCUGGAGGAACACCGGUGGCGAAGGCGACGUCCUGGACCGGCAUUGACGCUGAGGCGCGAAAGCCAGGGGAGCAAACGGG